GGCACCGAAGAGGAUCAGUUUUACACUUCAUUUCCUGAAAUUCUACACAUUUCGCCAUGAUAUGCAAUGUUAAAAUGACGUUGAGUGACUAAGAAAAUCAAUUGGGACCCACUGGAGUUCUGUGCUCCUGGGUGCGUGCCCGGUCGGUGAUUCAACCAUGAUAACUAAUUUACUCAUCUAAAACAAUGUUAGCUGACAUGGGCUAAUAGAGUGACUGCCACACAACCACAUUUAGAAGUUGCACCUGGUGUAUUCUAAAUGUCAACAGUAAGUUUUGACUGAGUUCCAAUUUUUUUGGUGGGGGGGGGGCCCGGGCCCCAAGCAGUCUCUUCUGUUGCUUUAUGCCUCGGGCCGGCCCUGUGUGUGGAUGUCAUUCUAAACCAGAGGUUUCACUGUUUAACUUAUUAACUGAAGUGAUUAAAAAAUGUUUUUACCUAACAAGUGUUUGACGGUAUUGUGGUGGAAAUUAAACUUGAGAAAUAUUGUUACAUAUUGCAAGGUAGUGUUUUUAUAUUUUUGGGUCACCAGUGCAAAAACAAUAGGGUCAAUCUCCACAUGUUCGCAGUAAUGCCUAGUAGAAUGUAAUGAAGUACCUCGUUUUGUAUUUGUUCGGUACUGAUGAAAGCGAUAACAAAAAUAACAAACUGACCGUGGUAUAUAUAUAUAUUUAAGGAGUCAAACCAGACAAAAUGCACUAACUUUAACCCUUCUUGAUCUAAUUCUGUCUGUGGCCUCAGGCAAGUGUUAUAUUAUGUGUUAUAUUAUGCACAAAGACUAUAUUCAACUGUAUGUAAUGUGAAGGGAACGUCCCAAAUGGCAUCCUUUUCCUUAUAUAGUGCACUACUAUGGCUCAGAAGAAGUGCACUAAUACCUAGGAUAGGAUAAGUAAUCCUUCUCACCCCCUUUAAGAUUUAGAUGCACUAUUGUAAAGUGACUGUUCCACUGGAUGUCAUAAGGUGAAUGCACCAAUUUGUAAGUCGCUCUGGAUAAGAGCGUCUGCUAAAUGACUUAAAUGUAUGUAAAUGUCUAAUUAGGGAGCCAUUUUGGACACAGCUGAUUUUAAAUAGUGGGGGACUGAUGAUGUGUGACUGCUGCAUGUGACCGAGGCCAGGAUGCACAUCAAAGGGCAGGAAGACCGCGUUCACAUGUUGGCCCAAUCAGAAAGCACCUUUUAAAUGGCGCGUUGCCAACUCAAGAGCCAUGGAUUGAAUCCCGGCUGUUGUUCUACUGUCUUCAGAACCAACCAAACAGGAAGAGACAACUUGGACAAAAAACUCUUUCGGUUUCUAUUGGGAAAUUGUUUUAAAACAUUUCCCCUUGUGUGCCCUAAUGAACACUACCCAGGCUGGUGUAUGUAUCCUAAAAUGGCAGCCUAUUCCCUAGAAAGUGCACUACCCCUAUGGGCCCUGGUCUAAAGUAGUUCACUACCCUUAUGGGCCCUGGUCUAAAGUAGUGCACUACCCCUAUGGGCCCUGGUCUAAAGUAGUUCACUACCCCUAUGGGCCCUGGUCUAAAGUAGUUCCCUACCCCUAUGGGCCCUGGUCUAAAGUAGUGCACUACCCCUAUGGGCCCUGGUCUAAAGUAGUUCACUACCCCUAUGGGCCCUGGUCUAAAGUAGUUCACUACCCCUAUGGGCCCUGGUCUAAAGUAGUGCACUACCCCUAUGGGCCCUGGUCUAAAGUAGUUCACUACCCCUAUGGGUAGUGCACUGCUUCUACACCUGCAUCGCUUGCUGUUUGGGGUUUUAGGCUGGGUUUCUGUACAGCACUUUGAGAUAUCAGCUGAUGUACGAAGGGCUAUAUAAAUACAUUUGAUUUGAUUAUUUGAUAUGGGCCCUGGUCUAUUGCAGUGCACUACCCCUAUGGGCCCUGGUCUAAAGUAGUGCACUAGAAAAUGAAUUGGUCCCAUUUAGAGUGCAGACCGUAGCCAUUUUAACAUGAUUCCCUGUGAUCAGUCGACCAUAGACACAAACAGAUCAAAUAUUACAAUAAAAUGAGAGUGUUGAAACUGAACAGCCUUGGCUGCACAGUUCCUACAGCUGUGUGUUUUCACUGUCUGUUAUAUACGUUGGCCGGGCCUUGCAGCUCCAGGACGGGCAUGACGAUAAAAGAGCUAGGAUGUGUAGAACUUCAGAUGGUUGUACAGCUAGGAUGUGUAGAUCUUCAGCUGGUUGUAGAGCUAGGAUGUGUAGAACUAGGAUGGUUGUACAGCUAGGAUGUGUAGAACUAGGAUGGUUGUACAGCUAGGAUGGUUGUAGAGCUAGGAUGUGUAGAACUAGGAUGGUUGUAGAGCUAGGAUGUGUAGAGCUAGGAUGGUUGUAGAGCUAGGAUGGUUGUAGAGCUAGGAUGUGUAGAACUUCAGAUGGUUGUAGAGCUAGGAUGUGUAGAGCUAGGAUGUGUAGAUCUUCAGCUGGUUGUAGAGCUAGGAUGUGUAGAACUAGGAUGGUUGUACAGCUAGGAUGUGUAGAGCUAGGAUGGUUGUAGAGCUAGGAUGUGUAGAACUAGGAUGGUUGUAGAGCUAGGAUGUGUAGAGCUAGGAUGGUUGUAGAGCUAGGAUGGUUGUAGAGCUAGGAUGUGUAGAACUUCAGAUGGUUGUAGAGCUAGGAUGUGUAGAGCUAGGAUGUGUAGAUCUUCAGCUGGUUGUAGAGCUAGGAUGUGUAGAACUAGGAUGGUUGUAGAGCUAGGAUGUGUAGAACUUCAGAUGGUUGUAGAGCUAGAGUGUGUAGAGCUAGGAUGUGUAGAGCUUCAGCUGGUUGUAGAGCUAGGAUGUGUAGAUCUUUAGCUGGUUGUAGAGCUAGGAUGUGUAGAACUUCAGGUGGUUGUAGAGCUAGGAUGUGUAGAACUUCAGAUGGUUGUAGAGCUAGGAUGUGUAGAUCUUCAGAUGGUUGUAGAGCUAGGAUGUGUAGAACUUCAGAUGGUUGUAGAGCUAGGAUGUGUAGAACUUCAGAUGGUUGUAGAGCUAGGAUGUGUAGAACUUCAGAUGGUUGUAGAGCUAGGAUGUGUAGAUCUUCAGCUGGUUGUAGAGCUAGGAUGAGUAGAACUUCAUGUUAUUUAUUUGAGGCUAAAUGGAUUUUUAAUUGAUGUAGUAUAUUAAGUUAAAAUAACUGUUAAUUCAGAAUUGUUGUAAUUGUCAUUAUUACAAAUAAAACAUUUUUUAAAAUUGGA